rnacentral:rRNA from 1 species
GACGAACCUUGCUAACGUUAUUCGGAAUUACUGGGCUUAAAGGGUGCGUAGGCGGUGCGGAAAGUCGGGUGUGAAAUCCCCCAGCUCAACUGGGGAAUUGCGCCUGAAACUGCCGUACUCGAGGAAGGCAGAGGUACGCGGAACUUAGGGUGGAGCGGUGAAAUGCGUUGAUAUCCUAAGGAACACCGGUGGCGAAAGCGGCGCACUGGACCACAACUGACGCUGAGGCGCGAAAGCUAGGGGAGCAAACAGG